UACGUAGGGCGCAAGCGUUAUCCGGAAUUAUUGGGCGUAAAGAGCGUGUAGGCGGCCACUUAAGUCCUGCGUGAAAUCUUGCGGCUCAACCGCAAGCGGUCGUGGGAAACUGGGUGGCUAGAGUGCGGGAGAGGAGAGUGGAAUUCCUGGUGUAGCGGUGGAAUGCGCAGAUAUCAGGAAGAACACCCGUGGCGAAGGCGGCUCUCUGGAAACGCAAACUGACGCUGAGACGCGAAAGCGUGGGGAGCAAACAGG
rnacentral:rRNA from 1 species